UUUUAGGGUGAGUUGGGAGGGUUUUUAGGGGACUGGUUUGUUGUGGGAUGUGUGGGAAAAUUGCGUGGCAAUUGGGCAAGCAUAUGGAAAUACGGUCAGGUUGUGUCAGGGAAAUUUUCUGGGGAUUUGGAAACCCUUUUUGUAGGAAUGUGUAUAGAUAAGUGAAGAUAUUUGUGUAGUGAUUUGGGUACCCUUAAUGGAAAUGUGCUGGGUCGGCCCACGGCGGUCGUCUUAUCCACUGCGGCGCGGUUAACGGCGUGUGCGUUUUCACUCGUGUGAAACGGUCUAACGUGGGUGUGCCCUUUCUCUGAGGCUCUCCUCAUGCACCUGUCCUUGGCACCAGCAUAUCAGUGGUGAGCUGCAGUGUGACAGAAGUGUUACUUGGGGCAGAAGGGCCCCCAGGAGCUGUCGUGUCUGCAAGGGUCAUUCUGGGUACCGAGACGGGUGUGGCGGUCCCUUGGAAAUAGCCAAAGCACCACAGGCGAGUACGUGUUUCUGCUUCGACACGCCAAGCGGACAGAACGCACCAGCAGUUGCCUGGGCUUCUGCCUGGAGGCACGUCAUUCACGUGCCCUGCUCCAACGGGAACACCUCCACUGACUGCAGCUCUUGCCUCCAACUGCUGGUAGCACCCUCAAAAAGCAAUGGCUUGCCCCUUGACUUGCAGAAUACUGGGGGCCCAGACCCCACAGACUUUGUAUUCUCUUCCCCUGUGCCUGGGGGAGGUGUUGAGCCCUUUGAUCUCUGCAGUCUUCAGCACUUGUUAGCCACUCCUCCUUAUGUGCACAACACCCAGCCCCUGUGACCUUGUCCUACCUGACAGCCUCUGUCCGCCUCUCCUAGUCUCAUCCUUCCUCGGAAGGCUUCCCAUGAAAUCCCGUCUUCUGUCCCAGCGUGCAGCAGGCCUGCACCAAUGUUUUCCAGCUUGCUUUAGAGAGUUGUAGGGUAGGGGUGGUGCUUCCUUGCCCCCUGCUGUUUGCUUCUGUCCGCUUUAAGGUGUUCAUGUAUUUCAGUUUUCCUUUUCUCCCCUCCUCUGUGGUGCCUGUGUCUUGCGCAUAUGCAGGAUGUUGGCGUAAGGCAGGGGCCGGCAGCUCUUUGGUCCUGUGGGCCACGGAGGCGGUACUGGGGAAGGCGAAGCGGGCCGGUCAGCGGUGCCGAUCCCGAAUAGCCCAGGUCCCGCUUGCCCUACGGCUCCUCCCCGUACUGCCAACAGUGCCCAGCCUAAGCCCCGACCCCCAGCCCGCCCUGCACCUUCUCUGGACUCCCUGGACAAAGUUGACCAGAUGGAACCUGUGUGCAUAACCCUGGCCCGUUGUGCCCCUGCUCCAGACAACCCGUGCACGCUGAGCAGCGGCAGUAGCUGUUGCUCGACAUGGCGGAAACAUGACUCCUCCUCGUCACGGCGGCCGGUCCCUUCUUCCUGCGGCUGCGCAGAGUCUACACGUGGGCUGCCCUGGGGCUUGUCUCCACUGCCAUCGCUGCUGCUUCCGGGCCGUGCGGCAGGGCCGUGACGGCUGUGCAAAGGAACCGUAGGGCAGCCCAGCCUCAGGCUCGUAGCGGUUGCAGCCAGAAGAGCCUGGUAGCUGUGAAAGGUGUGGGGCCACUUGCCCCUUGUGCCGAGCACGAGCUUGCGUUCACCUCUGGCAGCUACGGCCGCUGCUCAGCGUGGAUGGGCACACGUAGAGGAGGCGCCGUGCAGUUUGGGGUUUGGGCCGUGUGCACGGGUUCUGGCUGGGCUGGUGCUCGUCCACUCUGCCCGGCCUAGUCCUGAGCGGGCACUGGCUGGAUGGAGUUGGAGCUGUGCGUGUGGGUCCCUGCCAGUAGCUUGGGUUUGGGGCAGUGGCGGCAGAAACUGAAAGCAGCUUUCUUUGCCUGCGCAGCCUGGGGAGGCAGUUCAGGCGCACCCCGCUGCAUGCCCAGAGGCAGCGGGAUGCACCAGAGGCUAGACAGUGAUUGGGCAAGACAGGAUUGAGGUACCUGCCAAGGGGCAGACUGAGUCCCUCCAUGGGCCACAUCUGCCCAUGCUACUCAUGGUGUUUCAUAUGGAACAGGUUUUAGGAGCAGAGUAUCUGGAAGGAGGACUACUGUUGUAAAACUGUCCGUCUCCCUGCAGCUGUCUCCCCACACGGAUUUGUGGCGCUGAGCAGCCGUAAUAUGCUGGUGCCCUGCCCAUGGCGUUUUCCCUCCCCCCUCAAGGCCAGUGCCCCUCGCUCCCCUUUUCUAUGCUGAUGCUGAAACCUGUCUAGAGAGCAGGUUGCAAAGCACCACACUUUCAUUUUUUAAGCAGAAAAAGAAAUGAAAAAACCUGUUGUUGUUCAGGAAGCACCGCAGGACAUCAGUUCAACUUCAGGGGAGUUUGAGAUGUGUGGUAUACAGAUUCUCACCUGUGCAGGAGGGAGGAGGAGGCUAACAGCAGAUUGUCUCCACUUUGCAAAUGUCUUUUAAAGCUUUCCUCUGUUCACAUCGAAUGUUUACGUGUGGUUUUUGCUUUGUUUUUUAAAUGGAUAUUCCGAUACGUGUCAAGCAGAUUGGCGUCGCUGGAAGUUUGGGAAUGGGAGCGAAUCCGUUUUCCAGCGGACUUGGGAGAUGUCAAUGAGCGGGGGGCCCGUGUCCCUGGAAAAAAUACAACUCUGGAAGGGAAGAGCACUGCUCAUCUCUUUCCCUGCCCACCUGGGAAUGCUCCUUGUCCUGUUUUGUUUCUUUUACUCUGCUGUCUAGACCGAUUUUUCAUUUACAAAGGUUCACAAAACCAAAAAUCAGUUGGUGUUUUAAGCUGCUUUUUUCCCACCUUUUCAGGAAGCAGUUACUCAUCUUUGGUCUUGCCUGGUAUUGAAGGCUGGAGAAACAGAUUCUUAUUGUACUUUCUCAGGCCAUUGCUUGUGAUGUAAAUGCAGGCUUAUUACUUGUUAACAGUUGCAAAGAGCAUGUUCAUCUAACACACGAGGUACAUGGUCCCACUAGGGACCUCUUACUGGACUCGGUGCUGGCGACAGGGGAUGACCUGGUAGGGAAUUGACUGACUCGAGGUAACCUAGGGGACAGUGACCAUCCAUUGAUUGGAUUCACUAUCUGGCACAGGGUGGGAAAAAUAACCAGUAGGGUAGGAGUGCUAGACUUCAGUGUGGUCAGGAGAUUAGUUAGCGAGGCGCUGAAGGACAAGAGCACUGGUAAGAUGGGAGUCCAGGAAUGGGAGGUGUUCCUAAAGGGAGCAAUCCUACAGGUGUAGGAGAAGAUGAUCCCGUUGCACAGGAGAGGGGAAAGAGGGGCCAAGAAACCCUCUUGGCUGAACAGCAAAAUGCAGGAAAACCUAGGGGCAAAAAAGAGGCAUAUAGACAGUGGAAGCAUGUGAGAUUUACCAAGGUGGAGUAUACCUACUUGGCCUGCACUUGCAGGGAGGCAGUUAGAAAGGGUGAAGCAGAAAUGGAGCUUGGGCUGGCAACAAAAAUUAAAAACAAGUAAAGUCUUUCUUUAGGUGUAUAAGGAGUAAAAAGAAGGUGCCAUGGUAGCAUAGGAACCCUACAGGACAAACUAGGGUAAAUAGUGAUAGGUGGGGUGAGCGGGGCAAGGUUGAGCUCUUCAGUGAGUUUUUUGCUUCUGUAUUCCUGAACAUGGAACAGGACAGGUCUCCCAGUUGGAUGCUAGACAGGCAUAAAAGGGACACCAGCCCACCAAGUGUUUGUGCCAACUUGGUGAAGAGGCACUUGGAAAGACUGGGUGUGUUUAAGUCAGCAGACCCACGUGAUCUUCAUCCAAGGGUGCUAAAGGAUUUGGCAGCAUUAUAGGAGAGCCCCGACACAGCUGUUUGAGCACUCGUGGCACUCGGGUCAGGUCCCAGAGGGCUGGAAAAGGGCCAGUGCGGUCCCUACCUUUAAGAAAGGAAAGGAGGAUCCGGGUAACUAGACACCAGUUAGUCUCACUUCUGUUCUGAGGAAAACCUUUGAAAAGAUUAAGGAUCGCAUUUGUGGGAGUCCUGGAAGGUGGGGGGAUGCUGAAGGGCAGUGAGCACAUAUUCAUAGCAGGUAGAUCCUGCCUGACUAACCUUGUUUCUUUUUAUGACCAGGUCACAAAAUGCUUACACACAGGAAUUGAGGUAGAUGUCAUCUACUUGCAUUUUAAGAAGGCCUUCAAUAUGGUAUCUCAUUCUAAUGUCAUUAAUAAACUGAGCCGCUGUCACGUAGAUGAUUACACGAUCAGGUGGGUGGCAAAAUGGCUCAGCGUCAUACCCAGAGAAUGGCGGUGGAUGGGUCGGUAUCGACCUGGAAAGAUGUGGGCAGUGGAGUCUGACAAGGCUCGGUCCUUCGACCUGUGCUGUUUAAUGUCUUCGUGAGUCACUUGGAUGAGGGCGUGGAAAGCACUCUGUCCAAAUAUGCAGAUGAUACCAAAUUUAUGGGUAACGUUAACAUGCUAAAGCAGAGGUCCUCAAACUGUGGUCUCUGGACCAGCGCUGGUCCACAAGCUCCAUGUAGGUGGUCCUCAGAAAGGUUGCAGAAAAAUUGAGAAUCUCUGCGUUUGGCCCUGCAGUUGAUUACUUUUUUUUCCGGUGACGGAGAUUAAGCGGUCCGCUGAGACCCUCGGCAAUUUUCAAGCGGUCCGUGCAAAACAAAGUUUGAGAGCCGGUGCGCUAGAGGGUUGGGACCAAAUCUGUGGGCACCUGGGCAGGUUGGAAAAAUGGGCAGACCGGAAUAGGAUGCAGUUGAACAAAGACAAGUGCAAAGUGCUGCACCUAGGGAGAAGGAAUCACCGGCACGCUUACAGGCUGCGGGAGGGCUUUCUCAGCAUCAGAGCAGCGGAAAGGGAUCUCGGAGUCAGCGUUGAUACCGAGAUGAGCGUGAGUUGUCAACGUGACAAAGCGAUUGGUAAAGCUAACUGCACUUUAUCAUGUGUUCGCAGGUGCAGGACAAACAGGUCCAGGGAGGUGAUGCUUACCCUCUACGCGACAUUGGUCGAGCUGCAGUUGGAGUACUCUGUCCGGUUUUGGACGCCACACUUCAAGAGGGAUGUGGACAACCUUGUGAGGGUUCAGAGGAGGGCAAAAGCUAGUCCUUGCGCUCCUGUCCUUGGAACCAGCUUAUCGGCGAGGAAGCGCAGCGUGACAUUCGGAACCAAAAGGCCCGGAGUAGAAGGGCCCCCGACAUCCGUCGCAUCUGCAACGGGUCCCUGCGUGAGCUACUGAGAAACGAGCGUUUGGGGCCCGCACCGGUCUCUCGGAAACAUCCGAGCCAGCCCCGGCAGCAGGUGCCUGCGCGUUCCUGCCUCGUACGCGGUCAGGGAACGCUACGCACCAGCAGUUGCCUCGGCUUCUGACCGGACGCACGCCGUUUGCUUGCAAGCAUCCAAAGCUAGCACCUCCAGCGGCUGCAGCUGUUGCUUCCCAACUACUAGGAGAGCCUUGCAAAAGCAAUGGCCUGCCCCUGGGCCAGGCUGAUACCAGUGGCUCAGACCCAGAGACUUGCUGUUGUACCUCCCGGUGUCUGGAUUAGGUGUCGAGCACUUGGAACUCUGGCAGCUUCAGCACAUAUUAACCUCUCGUCCUCCUGUGGCCAACACCACGGAGCCCGUGACCCUAAUGUUUCUGUCAGCCUCUGUCCCACCCUUCCCCUGAAGGCCUCCCGUGAAAUCCCUUGUCCCAUCACAGUCUGCAGGUUGGCUUCAGCGGUAUUUCCCAGCUGCACGUGGAGAGUUGCAAGGGAGUGUCAGCGAGGAGCUGCAGCGUGAAAGAAGUGGGACUUGGAAAUAUCCAAGGGACCACGGGUAACAGUUUGACGGGCGUCACGUAGACUCGUUUUGCUGAAACUUUGGGAACGGGACCGAACCCAUUUUCCUGUGCGCUUGGACCUGCAGAUGGCUGGGGCCCGUGUCCCUGGGGAAACUCCGAGUCUGGAAGGGAGGAACACUGCUCAUCUCUCUCCCUGCCUGCCUGGGAACGCUCCUUGCCUUGUGUUUGUUAGACUCUGCCAUUUAGACCUAUUUUAACUUGUAACAGGGUCACAAAACCAAAUGCCAGUUGCUGCUCGUAGCUGCCGUUUCCCAUCGUUCCAGAAAGCAGCUACUCGCUCUUGGUCUUGUCUGGUAUUAAAGUCUUGAGAAACAGAAUUUUAUUCCACUUUUUUUGGCCGUUCCUUGGGAUGUAAGUGUAGGCUCACGGCCUAUUCCUUGUAUGCCAGCUUAAGCACGUGUCGUUCUUAAGUUAGGCUUCUGGUAGGUGUGUAGUCUGCAAUACUGAGCGUGGUCUGUCAGGCCCUGACCAUAUUUUCAGUUUACACCGAGGGGAAUCUGCCCAUAGCCUUCCUUCCCCUUUCUCAUCACCAUCUUCGUAACAUCCCUGCCUCUUUACUUGUCGCUCAUUUCAGGAGCUGUUGUGUGCCAGUGCUUCUGUUCCCUGGUGCUUUCCCCGGGUACCCACCCUGUCUCCUGUACGUGGUGGAGGACCGGUUUAAGGAGUUGCACGGAGGGCCUCACAGAAGUCCUGUGUGGUCACGGGUUUACAAUGAAGACUGGCAGCUGUGUGUUACUAUUUCUGGGGUGUGCCAUGUGUGAGGUGCAGCUGUCAGAGGAACGCUUUGGAGAUGUCGCUCACACAGGGAAGCAAAAUUGUUCUGCUCCCCACUACUGAGCUUUAAAGGGUGAUACCUGUGAGACAUCACAUCCUCUGUCCAAACCUGAGCCAUCUGAGCAGGGGAAGUGGCAUGGGAGCGGGGGCCAAGAUACCUGGUUGACAGCCCAGACUGCAAGUUGAAGGCUGCAAUGGAAGCGCUCAGAGUGUGGCCUGUCAGAUUCCAACAAAAUAUGUCAAGUCUUACAUGUAGCUUAUCACAAGGAAACGAAAAAGAAAAGGACAUGAGCAGGGGCCCAUGUUAGAGUCUUAGUGCAUUGGUCAGCGAUUGGGGGUGAGGGGUGCAUGUCCCUCCUUCACUGCUUGUGUGUUGACUGUCAUUGUUAAAGGACCAGGGUUGGGGGCGGGGGCAUUCUUGGCUGCUUGGCCAAGUGCCUGGGGGAAGAGCUAGGAGGGAGGGGGAGGUUCAGCAACCCCGGACUGGCCAGGUCUCCCCCUGCCUCCCACAGGGCUGCGCUACCUGCUACUGGCAGUGACUCUGCCUGGAGCAGUUGGCAGGCCCUUGUAAGCAGCCUGCACUGCUUGGGAGAUGUGGGCUGUGACACCUUGGUUUUCUGGACUGUGGUAAGAAAGCAAACAGCCUUGUAGUACAGGCUUCAGUUGUGGGACUGCACCCUGUUGUUGAGACCCCCCCCAGGGGCUUAUUUCUUGUAUGUCCAUGCAGGAUAGUUGGAGGGGUGGGGAAUGGAAGGAAGAGGCAUGGAUGAGACCUGCAUCUUCUGUUCAGCAAAUUUCUGUAAGUAAUGUUAGUACUACUAAUAUUAUCCCUGUUCUGAUUCUUACUAUUACUAUUAUUUGUUUUCCCAUAUACUUUGCCAACAAAGCACCUGGCAGGUCCAGUAAGAAAAGGAAGUUUCCAAACAGGUGACAGAAGGAAACCAAAUGAUUUAAGUAUGCAAGUGGUGGUGGUGGUGUUGGGAAGGUUCAGGAACCAUGGGGGAGGCAAGAUUUUUUGUUAUGUCUUUUGUGGCAACAACAGCACGGUUUGGACGGACAGAAGCAAGGUUUUAGGCAUCCCAGUCCCCUUUUUCAGUCCUGGUUCCUUCCCAGAAUCCUGAGGAAAGGUACUGUCAUACCCCAAAGGUUGCCUGUAUCUUACAGUUGGUCUGGUAAAACAGGGGUCAAAAAACCUAUGGCCUGUGGUUUGGAUCCAGUCUGUGAAGAAACUGGUUCUAGCCUGUAGCAGUUCAACCAAGGAGCAGCACACUCCCACGGUGACAGCAGCAGGGACAUCCCCAGCGGCCUGUUGCCACUGUGUUCAGUUUGUUCUUUGUGCUGCAGCAGAAGCAGCCUCCCCAGGGUCCCGGCCCCUGCCUCUUUCUUUUGAGUCCCUUCACAGCCUGUGGAGAUUGCCGGGGAGCAAGCUGUCACGUUGGCAACGGUGCACAACGGCAAAAGAACGGCCCUUCCCUGCAAGGAAAGAUUGCACCUAACUCCGAGCGAGCAGAGCAGAGCAGAGCAUGGACACAGAGCGAGAUGCUCAUCAGUAGGGUAGUCUGGCCUUGCCUUUGCUAGGAGUGCCCAAGUAGGGAGGUGUUGGAAUAAUUUCUCAGCUUUUUCCCUAGAUCGCUCUAAGAGGAGAGGGGAGCGCUAAGCACACUUGGGUUCGUGCACGCUCCCCAUCGUUUUCAGAAGCGGACGGCAGGAGAAAGUUUGCGGUCAGCGAUAGCAGCACAAGGCCGCGCAACCAGGCUGGGGAACGUGGGGCUCUUUCCUAAACCAGGAGUGGCAGGACUUGCACAGCUUUGCCAGGAUCCUGGCUGUUGUGGAGAGACUUUGGGUUGGAGAUGGAUGCAAAGAAGUGGAGGCGUGCCAUGGUGAUGGAGGAUAGAGCAGGAGGAGUAGUGUGAUGGAAGAUGACCAAAGUCUGGUCCUGAGUGGAGAAGAGCUGAGGAAGAGGUGAAGAGCCCUGGAGCUGGUAUGGCGUGGAAGGAGUUGGAGACGGCCUGAAGCCAUGCUCACGUGAUCACCUGGAGCGAGCAGGUGCCUGCAUCGUAUCUGGGAAAGGGAUAGCAAGCAUGAGGACUGAUGGCGCACAAGGACUGAAGGCGCAGCGUGAUGCCAGGUGUGGAGCCAUCUUCUGAAGGCUUGAGGGCUGUGGAGCAGACUCUGUGAAGAUGAAGUGAAGAGUCCCAGAGAUGGUGCAGGAGGAAACGGGCAGCCCUGUUGUGACUUCCUGAUUUGCGUGGUGUGAGGCCUCUUCCCCUGUGGCAUCACCUGGCUGGAGUCUGGGGAGGUUUUGUGUGUAGCUUUGCAGGCGGUGCGUCUCCGCUCCCACUUCUUGCUGUGAGGAUGCCUGGAUAAGCAGCAGCAUGAUUGUGGCUGGGUGGCCUCAAUGUUGUGGGGGAGAGGAACAGAAGCGAGGCUUCUGCGGUGGUGGUAGAAGAUGGAGGAACUGGAUCCCGAAAGGUGGGCUGGGUUAAAGUGGGAGGCUGGGUUGCGUUUUCCCUGGUCGUGUUUGGGUGGGGAAGGAAACGCCUUGUGCGUAAUGGGGUCUGGAGCUCCGUGCUGUCUGGGAAGUGAUGCUGAAGCAGGGACUUGUGGCCCUUAGGGAUGCUGCAGAGCAGGGGGUGUAAGCCUGAAUUGGGUUUAGUUUGGUGGUGAGACCUGACUCCUUGUAAAGGCUGGAAAUUGUCCUUGAGUAUAUUAGGGGUUUCAGUGUUUGCCCCUGGCUUCUGGGUGCAGGUGACAGCAUUGGAUGUGCUGGGACAGAGGAGCGGCUGCGUGCGUGUCCGCCUCUGCCUGGCUGUUGCUGCUGCCAGUGGUCUUCCUUCAGUUCUGGGAAUUGCACUCUGUCCUAUGUCUCUGGGUGUGUCACUGGUGUUUCUUUCUACUUUGAUAUCUAAAAUCACAGCAGCACUUCUUCUUUCUUUCUUUGCUCUUCCCAGAGCUGGAAGGAUAGGUGUGUUUGCAACUGAAUUGAUCCCCUCAUUUGGGUGGGCUUUGACUGCACCCUGUGUGCCUCGCGUGCGAGUGGGGGUGUUAUGCUUUCGGUGUCCUAGGCUGCUGGGGGUGGGGGGCGUUGUCUCUGCUGUCAGUACUAUGAGACGUGAAUACUGUUGCGUGUAGUAAUUGCUUGUUGUUUUGGGUGUGAUGUUAAUAUGUCGAGCGUGAGUGGAGAAGAGCUGAGGCGAAGAGACCUAGAGCCAGCGCUAGGUAGAAGCGGGUGGAGGAAGCAGGUGGUUGUGCAGCCAUGCUCGCUUCUGGGUCACCUGGAGGGAGGCCUCUGCCUGUUCGGUGGACCUGUGUGCAUGAGCAGAGCCUGCAGAGGUCCCUGCUUCCCCUGUGUGGAGAGGAUGGCAAGGAGGGAGGAGAGCGCGCUGGAGGAAGAGGAGCGCGAUGCCAGGUCCCAUGAGUGCUGUCUCUUGGGGGUCCUGACCUGUGCAGAGGGAAAUGACUGCCGGUUGAAGGAGUGAAGCUGAGCAGCGCCCACGGAGGGUGAAGCAGGAGGAACUCGAUGCCGCACGGCGUGUCGGUGCCGGAUGGGCAGUUCUGGCAAUUGCAGGUGCCUGUCUCCCGUAUGGGGAGAGGAUGGCAAGCAAGGAUGCUUGAGGGCUGGAGGAGAAGAGUGAUGCCAGGUGUGGCAAGUGCUGGCGGUCAGGGGAGUCCUCUUGCCAAGGCUUCAGGACUGUGAAGCAGAGACUGGAAGAAGAGGUGAAGAGCCCCAGAGAUGGCGGAGGAGAAAACGCACAGCUGUCUCCUGACUUCCCAAUUUGUGUGGCGUCAGGCCCCUGGCCCUGUGGCAUCACGCGGUUGGAACCUGCGGUGUGUCUGAGCUUCCUCGGAGCGGUGCGAUGUCUUCGUUUCCCUGUCUGACCGUUUCUUUCACAGUUGUUCUAUCAUGUUUGCAGGAUGUACUGUGUGUAUGGUGGUUGCUGUGGUGCAUUGCUUUUUGAUGCGCUGUGACUAUCUGGCUCUGGGCGGCCACAGGCAAGCCUUUAAGAGCUCAGCUAGCGAGUAGUGGGUCUGGAUGUGUCUGCCGGGUGUUUGCAGAGGAGCUUUCCCUGUCUCUAGCUUUGUGCCGUUUCUUCUGCUCUCUGGGCUGGCUAGGUUUCUGUUCUUUUUCCAGCAUAGUCUAUCUUGAUGGGGUGAAGGAUACAGGGAGUACUGUGCCACAGUGUUGGAAGAUGAAGGAACAGAAUACUUAAAAGUGGGCUUGGUUAGGGAGGGGUGGUGGGGUGGUGGUGAGUGGUUUCUUCCCUGUGGUUUUUUGGGUGAGGGAGCAAACGCCUAGUGUCUGAUAGUGUCUGGCGCUUCUUGUUUCCAGCAGGGUUCUGGCCUCCUGGGGUGCCCCAGAGCUGGGUGGUGUAAGCCUGGGUUGGGUUUAGCCUGUGUGUGUGUCCUGGCUCUCUUUGUACAGGCUGACAAUAAUCUUUGAGUAUAUAGGUGGUUUCAGUGUUUGCCCCUGGCAUCUGGAUGGAGAUCUUGUCCCUGGGUGUGGUGGGGCAGAGGAGCGGGUGCCUGUCUCUCUGCCUCUGCCUGCCUGUUGCUGCUGCUGGCCUCCCUUCCGUUCUGGGAAGGGCACUUUGUUCUGUCUGUCUGGGUUUGUCACUGGUGUUUCUGUCUACUUGGAUUUUGAACAUCAGUGCAGCACUUGUUGUUCUUGCUUUCCUAUUCCCAGAGCUGGAAGGAGGGCUGUGUUGGCAAUUAAAUUGGUCCCCUCCUUUGGGAGGGGUCUGAAUGCACCCUAUGUUGCUUGUUUGGGGCAGUUGCUUGUGCUUUGUCCUUUUGUUUGGUAGUGAACUUUCCCCAUGUGCUGUCAGGAGGUUCCUGCAUCCUGUGAGAGGAGACGAAGCGAAGCAGGGACAAGUGAGGGCUGCAGAAGGAGCGGCAUAAUGCCAGGCACGGUGAGGGCUGUCCUGAGGCUAAAGCCUUUUCUGCGGCUGAAUGGGAGGCGUUGUAGCCGGGCGCCCCUCGGAGACCUUUGAGCCGGGGAGCGGGUGUGUGGUGUGGGAGUUGUACUGUGGGUUCCUUCUCCUUGGUUGUGGUCCUGGAGUGACUACCUGUUCUCUUCCUUCUAGGGUCCUGGCCCGUGUGCAGGGAAAUGUAUGCUGGUUCAGGGGGUGGAGUGGACUAGUGCCCAUGGAGGAUGAAGCAGUAGGAGUUGGCUGUUGCAUGGUGUGUUGGCAUUGAAUGGGCACAUCCUGCAGUUGGUAAAUGAUUGCUUGAAGCAGUGUGGGGUUGCCCAGGUCUGGCAGGUUUUUGUGCUUUGCCCUUUGUUGUUUUCUGUGCUCGUUGCGCCGAGGUUUUCCUUUGCGUCCUCGGCAGGCGCUUGCCUCCCGUGGGGAAGGGAUGGCAAGCGAGGCUGCGCAAGGGGUGACGGAGCACUGCGAUGCCACGUGUGGCGUGUGCCGGUUCUCUGGGCUGAGGCCUUCGCCCUGGUGUCUGCGUGCCCUCUGUGUGCCCUUUGCAGUGUGAUGAGGUGCUCUGUUGGCUUGCUGUGUGUUGUGGGACUUGCUCAGUGGUUUGCUCAUCCUGUGUUUAGUUCUGCUUGUUGGGCUGAUCACUUGUUGUCUGUUCUCUGUACGGUCCUGGUAUGUGUGGAGGAAAAGGAAGAGGGCUAAGGAGCGGAGCAGAACAGUGGUAAUGGAGGAAGAGAAGCAGGAUGCUGGGAGGUGGGGUGGGUUGGGGCGGGCGGUGUCUGGGUGUGGUGGGAAGGCCCUGGUCUGGCAUGGUGUCUAUGUUAGGUGAUCCCAGUCAGAGAUGCUGGAGCAGGGUGUUGCGGCAUUUGAGCUUCCUCUCAUCUCUUGCGGUGGCCUGCUGUGUCCAGGGGCCCCUCGUGCGGCUCUUCACGAGGCUUGAGAAUGCGUGCCUGUCCCUGCCAGCAGGUUUUUUGGCUCCUUGAGCUGUGUUUGCUACAACACUUGGGUGCCGGUGUCUGGCCCUCUCCAGGUUUUGGCGGGGCAGAAGUUUGGUGCGUCUUUGCCUACCUGGCUGUCUUGGCACAGGCUCUCCCACCGGUGCUGGGACUGGCUUGUCCUCUGUCCAUGUGCCUUUGUUUGUCUUGUUGUCUUGAAAGUUGUUGCAGCCUUUUUCUGUUGUUCCCAGAUCUGGCAGGAGACCUGUGUUUGCACACCUAAAUUGCUUCCCUUGCUAUCGAAGGGAAAGUCCUGAGGGGUCUGGCUGUCCUGUGACAGCUGUUGGCCGGGGGUUGGGGCGUAGGGGAUAAGUCGCGUGCGGCGUCUCGGCAGGGAGCGGCCGUUGUCCCCGGUGCCGCGAAGCCUCUGAGUUGUCGAUAGUGCCAAUUGCCUUUUCCUUACGUGUGUGGAGGAGCCAUCUUGUGAAGGUUGCAGGCCUAUGAAGCAGCCACUGGGAAGAUUUCAUAGACAUUCGGGCUGGAAGGGACCUCGGAAGAUCAUCGAGUCCAGCCCCCCGCCCAAAGGGCAGGAAGUCAGCUGGGGUCAUAGGAUCCCAGCAAGAUGAGCAUCCAGUUUGCUCUUAAAGGUGUUCAGUGUAGGCACUUGAACCGCCUCCGGCGGCAGGCUAUUCCAGACCUUGGGGGCUCGGACAGUAGAGAAAUUCUUCCUUAUGUCCAGCCCGAAACGGUCUUGUCGUAGUUUAUGACCAUUCGACCUAGUCGUCAUCCCUUGGGGCGCGCUCUGGUGAACAAACGUUCCCCCAGAUACUGGUGGUCACCCCCGAUAAACUUAUAGGUGGCCACCAGAUCACCCCUGAGCCUGCGCUUUUCCAGGCUAAAGAGCCCCAGGGCUCUCAGCCUGUCAUCAUAAGGUCUGCUUCCCUGAGCUCUGAUCAUGCGCGUGGCUCUUCUUUGGACUCUCUCAAGCUUCUCCACAUCCUUUUUGAAUUGUGGAGCCCAAAACUGGACGCAGUACUCCAGCUGCGGCCUCGCCAGGGCCAAGUAUAAGGGGAGAAUGACGUCCCAGGAUUUGCUUGAGAAGCAUCUGUGGAUGCAAGCCAGCGUUUUGGUUGCUUUAAUAGCCGCAGCAUCGCACUGCAGGCUCAUGUUCAUCUUGUGGUCAAUGAUGACCCCCAAGUCUCUUUCUUCCAUAGUGCUAGCCAACGUAGCACUGUUGAGCCUAUAAGGAUGCUGCAGGUUUUUCUUCUCAAGGUGGAGAACCUUGCAUUUAUCGGCGUUGAACACCAUCAGAUUCUCGUCCGCCCACUUGCUGAGCCUGUCCAGGUCAGCCUGGAUCGCCCGCCUGUCUUCUGGCGUGGAUGCUUUGCCCCAAAGUUUGGUGUCGUCGGCGAACUUGGCCGGCCCGCUUCUGACUCCAGUGUCCGCAUCGUUAAUGAAGAUGUUGAACAGUAUGGAUCCAAGGACAGAGCCUUGGGGGACCCCGCUGGUCACAGGACACCACGAUGAGUGACUUCCAUCAAUUACUACCCUCUGGGUCCGACCACGGAGCCAAUUUUCCAUCGAGUGGAUCCUGGAGGACCCAAGGUGACAAUUGGCCAGAGGCGAUCAUGGGAAACCAGAUCAAAGGCUUUUUUGAAGUCAAGAUAUGACAUCAAUCUCUUCUCCCUUGUCCAGGUGAUAGGUCACCCGGUCGUAGAAGGAAAUGAGAUUGGUUAAGCAAGACCUACCCGCAACAAACCCGUGCUGGCUAUCCCUUAAGACGUUGGCGUCGGCCAGUCCGUUAAGGAUGGCCUCUUUAAUUAACUUUUCUAAGAUCUUCCCCGGGAUAGAAGUCAGGCUGAUGCGCCUAUAGUUAGCCGGAUCCACUUUCCUCCCUUUCUUGAAGAUAGGCACCACAUUGGCCUUCUUCCAGUCUUCGGGCACGACACCAGAGCGCCAAGAGUUGUCAAAGAUCCGCGCUAGAGGCUGGGCUAUGAUGCUCGCCAGCUCCUCGAGUACCCUCGGGUGAAGAUUGUCAGGGCCGGCUGAGUCGAAGGUAUCCAGCUUUUCAAGAUGUUCCUUCAUGAAGUCAGCAUCAAUGGAGGGCAGGGGAUCACGCUCACCCGGUGAAGAGACCCACAGUGGGCAGCCCUGUUAUGAUUUCCCGAUUUGGCACGGUGCGAGGCCUCUACCUCUACUGUGUCACCUGGCUGGAGUGUGUGGUGGGUCUGAGCUCCCUUGGAGCAGCGCGAUGUAUUUGUCUUCCUGCUUUGUCACUUUUUCCACGCUUGUUCUUUCAGGUUUCCAGGAGGUUUUGUGCGUGUACCUGUGCAGGUGGUGUGUCCCCACUCUGUCUUCUGGCUGUGAGGAUGCCUGGAUAAGGAGCAGCGUGGUUGUGGCUGUGGUGAGCAGUGCCUGUUGGAGAUGAGGGCUCUCCUGUGGUGGCUGUGCCCUGUGUAAGCUAGGUGGGUUUUUGAUUGCCUGUGAAUAUCCAGUUCAGGCUGGGCAGAAGCAAGCGUUUGAGAGCUCAGGUAGUGGGUUGUGGUGCUGGAGGUUUGGAGAGGAGCUUACCUUGGCUCUGACUAGGUUGCCUUGUGUCCCCUGUUUGGGGUGAUGAGGGUUUUGUUUGAUUUCUAGUGGCUUUGAUCUUGUGGGGGAGAAGGAUGUGAGGGCAUGUUGUGCUGUAGUGAUGGAAGAUGGGGGAACAGGGUGCUGAAAAUUGGUUUGGUUUAGAGUAGCGGGGUGGAGUGGCUGGUUUGCUCUGGUGAUGUUUGGCUCGGGGGUGGGGGGGGUGCCAGUCUCUGCCUGUGUGUUGCUGCUGCCACUGGCCUCCCUUCAGUUCUGGGAGCUGUACUCUGUGUUGUCUCUCUGGGUGUGUCACUGGUGUUUCUUUCUGCUUUGAUGUUGAAAAUCACAGCAGCACUUUUUGUUCUUCCUUUGCUCUUCCCAGAGCUGGAAGGAUGGGAGUGUUUGCAUGUAAAUUGGUCCCCUCCUUUGGGAGGGGUUUGCUUGUACGCUCUGUGCCUUGUGUGGGGGUGGCGGCUGUGUGCUGCUUUUGGAGACUGGGGCGGGUGCAUCUCUCUCCUUAGUACUGAGAUGUGAAUACUGUUUCGUGUAGUACUUGCUUGUUGUUUGGGGGGUGAUGCAAAUAUCUGGACCCUGAGCGGGGAAGAGAUCAGGUAGAGGUGAAGUGACCUAGUGCCACCACCAUGCAGAAGGAGGUGGAAGAAGUUGGUGGCUGUGUCCCUGUCGUCAUUUCUGGUUCUCCUUGAGCGAGGCCUUUGCCUGUCAGGUGGAGCUGUGUGCGUGGACAGAGCCUGCAGCAGGUUUCUGAGGAUGAUGAUGUGCACCAGACUGUGGGAAGAGGGUGAAGCGUCCCAGAGGUGCUGGAGGAGGUGCGGUCAGUCCCUGGUUGCCUGGUUUGAGGCCUCUGGCUUUGUGGUGUCUCUUGGCUGGAUCCCUAUGCAUCUGUGGUCCCUGUGGUAGGUGGGCGAGUGCUUACUUGGAGCAGCGUGGGACUUCUCUCCAAUCUGCCAGUUGCCUCCAUGUUUUUGUUCUUGUGUUUUGGUGAAGAUUUUCUGUAUCUUGCAGGUUUCUUUUUUUCUCCAGCCCAGUCCUGGGUGUUGGGCAUUGACUAGGUAGGGUAGACGGCUGGAGAUCGAUCUGGAUGUUUCUGACUGGUGAGUACUGGGUGUCAGAGAAAAGGUCCUUCUUGUGGUGGUGUCUCCAGCAUAUGCUGUGGCUGCUGUGCUGUGGUCCCAGCAGAGGCAAGCCUUGGAGAGCUCAGAGGGUCCUGGUCCUUGGAGAGAAGUUUGAGCAGAGAAGGGUGGAAGAUGGAGGCAGAGAGGAUGGUGCAAGCAGGGGGUCUUUUUACCAAGACUUUUGGGGCCGGGAGGAGAAGUGGAGAUUGGGCAGAAGAAGAGAAGACAUCUUGAAGUCAUGAACCAUGGAGCUGCCUGUCAUUGGUGCUUGUGCUGUAGCUCUGUCGUGAGGAGCAGGGCAGGGGCAGUGACAUGCUGAGGGCUGGAGAAGGAGCACCACAAAGAUGGCUGUGAGGCCUUGGUCAGGCGUGAAGUAUGUGAGCCAGGAGAGUCGUACAGCACACACGCAGGAUGGAGGGCAACAAGUCGAGCGGGGGGCUUUUUUGGCCAGGGCUGCUGUGAAAUCUGGUGUAGGGCUGGGCCAGCCGGUCCGAGUCUGUCGGAGUCCACGUAUAGGAGAAACGACGGAUGUCUAAGGAGCUUGUGGGGCGUUUGAUCCGGGCUCAUCCCUGGCACUUGGGGUGCAGGCCUGGCCCCUCUCUGGGGUGUGUUGAGGGUGAGCUCUGGGUUUGCGUUCAUGCCCCUGACUUGCUGUUGCUACAGGCCUCCCUUCAGUCUUGGGAACAGCGCUAUGUCCUGUGUGCCUGGGGGUGUCACUGGUGUCUCUCUCUUUCUACCUCUUUGCAAAAUGUCUGCAGCACUUGUUCUUUUUCUGCUCUUGUCAGGACUGGAGGGAAGGCUGUGGUGGGUUUUUUCCUGCCACCUAAAAUGGUUUCCACCUCGGGGAGGGGUCUGACUGCACCCUGUGUGCCCUGUUUAGGCUGGGUGGGGGUAUCGCCUUUGAAUUCUCGGGGGUUGCUUUUGCCCUCAGGGCUGUGAGUCCCGUGUGCCGCGUGACUUUUCCUAAUUUAUUUUUGUUUUGGUGACAUGUACGGGAGUCAUCUGGCUGAGGCUCGAGGCUCCUAAGUGGGCAUCGGGAAGAAGAGGUGGAGAUAUAGCGCCUGUGACCUGAGGAAGCUGGUGAAAGAAACGGAUGUCGGCGCAUUCGCUUUGCUGUUGCCCGGUGUGAGACUUCUGCCCGUGUGGUGGCCCUGGGCUGGAAGCCUUGCUGCGUGAAGCCUGCGAUAGAUGUUGGAUUGCUGCUCCCUGUGUGUUGAGGAGGAUGGGCUGCAAUGACUGGAGGCCUGGAAAAGGAGCCGUGUGGCCAGGGUCCUGGCCUGCAUGGAGGGAAGUAGGUGAGAGGACUGCAUCGUGGAAGAGCCGUGGGACAGUGUUGGAUGACAGACACGGACCGGCCGGAUGUUGCCCGCUACGUUGGAAUGUCCCUUCUGUAUUGGGAUUCUGCGUGGGGGUGUGGGGUGGGUUUGGGAGUGUCCUCAGCUUUAUGAUCCUGGAGCCAGGGGUUUGCAAGUAGUAUGUUUGGGUCAGUUUGUCUGUGCUGUGGGUGGACCUAGGGUGACCAGAGGUGAAAUCCAUUCCUGUGACCCUGUAGUUGGACGAGCACCCAGACACUUGCAGGAACCGCUGGGCAAGCAGGCCCAGAGCUUUCAACUGUUGAGCACAGCAAUGCUGGAGCCAGCUAGCAUGGAAGCAGAAGGGCUGGCCGGGCGCGGGGCCCGGGCUGCCUCUGUGGCUUCUGUGCUAGUGAGGUUGAGAAUUGCAGUGCUGGGGGGUUGGAGGUUUUGGACCUGCUUGUGCAGGGUUCUUGUUGGUGUUGGGGUGCUGGUUCUGCUGGGUCAGAGCAAUGGGUUUUAUUCUGCCUGACUGCCAUGUUUACCGUGUCCUGCAGGGCUGGGAGCCUGUCAUAGCAGUGUGUGUUUGGCUGGGGCGGGGUGGUUGUCUGGUUUGGUCCCUGAGCAGUGUGGUGAGCAUGUUUGUUAUUACCCUGAAAUAAAAUAGUUUUCUGAUAGCCUACUGUUAGGCUAACAAUAAUUUAGAUUAUUAAGAAGUAUUAGCUUUGCAGUUGAAUACAAGGCAUGACCUGUGGCCUAGCAAUGCCGCUGACCACAAGGCAGAAUGAUAGCUAAGCCUUUGCUUAUGUUAAGUAAUCAUUUUAACUGUGUUGACUAUUUUCUGAGUAAAAUGCAGCAAGUGAAUCUGUCUGUGUGCUGUAAACCAGAUACAGCAAGGAACAAGGUAAGAGGAAGAAGGCAUUGUUCUAAGUACAGUGAUCGUGUCCUUAAGAAGUAUCUAGUACUGUGCAAGUUUUUGCUAACAUCAUAAUGUUACUGUUAUUUAGGUUAGAAAAUAUUGUUGGAAAAUCAAUGUGACCUUUGUAUGACCUUUGGUCAAUGCUGGCUGAUGCAACCUUGCAGUAAGAUUGCCAUGAUCUGUCAAUAUAGGCGGGCAGACAAGGUGAUUGGGCCCAACCGUGCGGGGUGAGCAAAGCCAAGCCAUCUUGGUGAUUUCCUCUGAGUUUUGCGCAUGCGUUAUGAAGGAGCUUAUGGAACCAGAGUUUAUAAAUCUAUGUGUUGAGUUGCAGUCGGGGGUCUCUCUGCCCUUACGAGGACAGGGGACCUUUGGUCGAAUAAACUGAAAAGACCACACCCUCAUCUCUUGCUUAUUGGAGUCUCAGCUGGGAAACGAGCUCUGUUCGGGUUAAGAGAGUCUGCAGGUGUUCCCUUACCAGAUUGGGAGCCUGGUCAGACAAUUUCUCUCACAAUUUGGCGAGCCAGCCAGGAGCACCCAGCUCGUCGCGUUGCCGCUGCCGCCUAAACCCAACCUCCGGCCGGCCGUAACAGAGGUGAGUUCACCACGGGAGUCUUGGGUUAAGGCUGCAGACACGGCGGGACGAUAAGGUGACUCCUUCAAUUUUACUGGCAUGGUGUGGUCUUUUAUAUGUUGUGUAUGUCUUGUCUAACGUGUUAUAGGCCAGUCUGUUCUCCGGAUCCUCAAACCUGGGCACACAGGCAAUUUUAGUUAAUUGCCCGUUCGACUCUUUUGAGCCGAUAAAUCUGUGUGGCGCGUUUUAUGUCUCCAUUCGUGCACUGAGGAACCGUCUCUGUUUCUGACCUUUUAACUGGAUAAGUCCUCCAACCUGUUUGAGGCAUCUUAGAGGCCUGCCUUUCCAGGUUGGUUAGGUCUAGGGCAGCCAAGAAAGCAGGGUUUUUGGGGAGCUUAAUAGUAUAUCAGGUUAUCUGGGAAAGGGAUGUCCGCCAAGAAUGACGAUGGGACAGAAACAGUCAAUUCUGGCUAGUAGUCCUCUUGGAGAAUUGUUAAGCAACUGGAAUAAGUUAUCUGGACAUGGCCAAUUGAGUAAGAAGCGCGCUAUAGCCUUAUGUACUAGUGUCUGGCCCGGCUACACUUAUAAAAACCCUGAACUUCAGUGGCCAGUGUUGGGAUCCCUCAGUGUAGAUAAAUGAAGGUACCUCAGGGGGUUCCUAGAGGAACCCCAUCCCCGACUAAUGGAUUAUUGGUAUCUCUGGUGUGAUUUGAUGGAUUUAAUUCUGCAGAGGAAAAAAAAAACUGAUUACUUCUGGCCGCUCAACAACGUCUGUGGUGUCUUCUCCCCCUUAUUCUCCCGCUAUGCCACCAUUGGUGACUAGGGGACCAGCCAUAAUAAACCCGGCCGCUUAGGCCGUGGCCCUUCUGGCACCUUUUACCCCUCCAUCAGGCUCCUCUCCUCCCGUAACAGGAGUGUCAGGGUCUGUACCUGCCUCCUCGGAGCCUACUUUCAGUCCCAUAGCAGGACAUACUAGGUAGCGUUUGAAUCAGGUCAUACACCUGCUGUUGUACACAUGUAAUGACAUCUGCACACCCCCAUCACACAUGCAGUCACGCCUGUUCAGAGUCCCUUACAGACACGCGCCUGCACAGAACCCCAAAACACACUGCGACAUACACAUGUGCCCCAACAGGUGUCCGUGACACACUUGCACACAAAUGUGCAUCCUCGCACACAUGCAUGUGCACAGUCUCACACACGCACCCAGAGCCCAGGUGCUUGUGACACGUGCAUGCUCACACACACAUGGAACUCAGGUGUCUGACACACAUGCAUAUGUGCUCUCGCGGACACAGUCUAGCACACAUGUACAGAACCCAAGUGUCUGUGGCACACAGGCAAGUACCCUGACAUAUUCACAUUCACACACACACAAGCCCACAUGGGUAGAUAUGAAUCAACCUGCCCCCAAUGAUGUGUGCAAUUAUUGUAAACAAUUGGGGCAUUGGAGACGAGAACGCCCAAACUGCCCUAAGGGACUUCCCCCUUAUGGAGGAAGAAAGGGGGGAACCCAGGGAAACAACCGGGCUGCCAGCACCGAUCCUACAGAUCCCUGGGUCCAGAGUUUGCAAGAAGAUAUAGAUGACUCCCAGUGAAAUAAGGGGGCGGCUCUUCCACACGAUGUAUUUAGGGGAAUCUUCCUCUUUUGAGUAUACCUGCGCCCCUUCAUCCCCUUAUGUACCACUUCAAAUAGCAGGAAAAUUUAUAAAUGUCUUAUAGAUAGAGGAGCAGAUCUGUCCUCACUGGGAGAAUCUCCAGAAAGGGCGGGAAUUGCAGUCUCAGGAUCUGAAAAGAUUAUGAGAGUAAUUGGAAAAUCUAUGCAAGUGCCCCGUGGCACUGAAACACAAGUGCAGAUAGGACCCUUGACCACUAUUCAUGCUUUCCUAUUAGCUGAAGGAACUGUAGUGCACCUCCUUGGAAGAAAUCUACUCUAUAAACUACAGACCAGAAACCCUUCACCCUACUUACUCAUGAGAAUCAAGGCGUUGCUUCAGGUGUCUUAACUCAGCCAUGGGGAGUUUCUAAUCGUCCCAUAGCAUACUAUUCUGCUCAGUUAGAUCCUGUAGCAAGGGCAGCAAUUCUCUGUCUUAGAGCAGUUGCUGCUGCCGCUGUGCUAGUUCAAAAGGCUCAAGAUUUAGUGUUAGGACACUCUCUUGUGGUUGAAAUAUCUCAUUCAGUGGAAGCUCUCCUACUACAGCACAACCUCUGCCAGCAGGGACCAACGCCCAGGCCGCUGAGCUAGCGGCACUCUGAUGAGCAUGCAAAUUGGCCACAGCCUCCAGGGUCACUAUCUAUACUGACUCUCUAAAUAUGCUUUUAGUAUCUGUCAUGCGCUAGGACAGUCCUGGUGACAAAGAGGUUUUAUCACGUCCUCUGAUGCUGUAAUCAGCAAUGCCACGGAAGUCCAAGAACUGCUAGAGGCUGUCGUGUUACCAGGUGAUAUAGCGGUAAUGCACGGUCCCAGACAUUCCAGAGAAGAUACUGACAUCGCUAAAGGAAAGCAUCUUGCAGAUGCUGUAGCUAGAGCCGCUGCACUACAAACUAAAGGAAGUCUCCUUGCAUCUCAAGUUGUUCUUCCACCCUUGUCUGUUAUUUAUGACAAAGUCCCAGCGGAUGAAGUAUCUAUAUGGGUCCAAAAGUGGGAAGCUGCGCAAGGAAAGGAUGGAGUGUGACGUGUGCCAGACGGUAGACCAAUUGCUCCUCGCACCUUGCUCCGAAGUCUGGCUCAGGAUGCCCACAGAUGCUGUCAGUUGGGAAAAGGAGAAAUAGCAGAACAGGUCCUCUCCACCUGGUUUGCUCCAGGUAUACAUCUAGAAGCUGCCCGAAUAACUCUGCAAUGUUCAGAGUGCAGAGCCUUCAACAAAUACAGAGGACACACAAAAUUACAAGGGGCCCGACCGUGGGCCUAUUUACCCUUUGAAAAACGACAUGGAUUUGCUCAAAGCUGUAAAUUUCAAGCACUGCCUAGUAGUGGUAGAUCAAGUAACAGGAUGGCCAGAAGCUUUCCCCACUCGAGAAGCGGAUUCAGUAGCAGUAGCCAAACCCGUAUUAAAAGAAAUCAUCCCACAUUUCGGCAUUCCAGGAGGAAUAAACUCUGACUGGGGAACUCACUUUACAGAAACUGUUUUAAAAGAAGUUUACAGAGUUUUUGGAAUAAUAACAUACUUGCACGCACCCUAUCGCCCUCUGUCCUCGGGUCAGGUAGAGAGUAUGAAUCAGAGUAUAAAAUCCCUUUUAGGAAAGAUCUGCUCCUAAACCAAAUUGAAAUGGUCAGAUGCUUUACCAAGGGUGCUGUUCGCUAUAAGAACAAAACCCAAAUGGCCUCUCAACCUUGUCCCCCUACGAGUUGUUGUUUGGUCACGCUCCUGUUAUAUAAGAGAUGGGAAAAUCUGCAUGUUAGCUUACUCGGCGGAGAUGAAGCUUUAAUUAGUUAUGUUUUAUCCUUACAGGAGUCUCUCUAGUGUUUACACAGGUCAGCUGCUUUGGUUCAGCUGGUACCCCUGGACUGUAACCUUCACUCCUAUCAAUGAGGACUCUGAGUUUGGGUAAAACAGCAUCGGUGAAAAACCGCCUCGGCCCAAGUCUGGGCAGGUCCGUACCAAGUUCUUCUUACUAUACACGCUGCUGUGAAAAUCGCCGAGAAAGAGGGCCGGAUUCAUCGCGGUCGCCUCAAACCUGGUAUCGGCAAGUAAUGACCGGUCAGCUGCUGUUCCGCCUUUAUGGCUAGAAAGAAUCGGAGAAUCGUGGACCGUUCAGACUCCUUAAUAGAAAUGAUACGUGUAUUAAGCUUGCUUUGUAUUAUCUUUCUUGUUAUACUUUGUGUUUGUAUUUCACUGUGGAUGCAGGGAAGGUUAUAAGUUAAUAAUGGCAUUUCACCGGGCUAUCCUAACAGGAUUAUUGCUCUUGAUGCAUAAAACACCAUGGCUAUUUAUGGGAAAGCGAUACAGAACAGGAAGACCAGUGGAAAGAUAAUACUUACCUGAUUUCCACUAUAGCUAUAGCACAGGCCCUAAAAUUUGUCUAAUGGUUGGAUAUGUGGUACACAGCCUCCUUCUACUAACUUUCCACCCUAUCCUUUAAUCUCUUGGGAAGGGUUUUUUUCUAAUCCAGAGUGGGUUGAUACGGAUAGAGCUGGAAUAAGUACCUGGCAGGACAAUCCUUAUUUUAAAGAGAGAGUACUUUCAGACAUCAUGUUAUCUGCCCAGGUGUGUUGGGAAAAAAGUUAGUGUUAUCUUACACAUUGCAAUCUGUUAUCCUGUACUCCGCUGUACCAUCUUCUUCCCUCUGGCCCCCCCCCCCCCCCCCCCCCCCCCCCCGCCUUAUCUUAUCUGACUUCUAGCUGCAGCUGGUACCCAGUACACAGACUUAAUUUCUGCUUUUUUCUAACAAAAUGGUUAGGGCACUUGACAUAAGAAAAUAGUUGGCUUAGAGAUCAUUCUGUCUUGUGGUCAGGAAAACUGCUAGGCCACAGGUCAUGCCUAGUGUUUAGCUACGAAGCUAAUACUAUGUAAUAAUCUAAAUUACCCUGAAAUUAAAUAGUUUUCUAUAGUAUACUGUUUACAAGAAAGACAAACUUGCCCAUCACUCUGACUGUGAGGUGGAAGAGGUGCCAGGAGGAUGUGUGGGGUCUGAGUUGUGCCUUGGUGUGUGCUUAGUUGGGUGAGAGGGGUGCGAAGCUGCCUGGGUGUGGUGGGAUCGUGCUCUGCUCCCUUGCUUGUUUGCUUUGUUUGGUGAUGUUUGUGUGUGUCCUUGUGUUGUUUGUUGUGAGGCUGGCAAUGUUUUCUUCCUGGUGGUUUGUUUUGUACAUGGCUGUUUGCUCACCUCCUGUCUACUGAGCUUUUUGUAUGUAACAUGUAGAGGAACUUGUGGGCCAGCCUGGAAAAAUAAAAUAAAGGAGAAAUGGUUUUGGCA